AUUAAAUUUUUUCUUUGGGAUUAUUGACAAUAUCUCAUAUUCUGAAUUCUACUGAGAUGUCGAAGAGGAGUUUUUAAGAAUCACAAUAAUUUGCAAAGUGGGUUUUUUUGUGACUCUGAUGAGGUAACCAGGGAAGGAAGCACAUGCGCUGAGGCCCGAAAGAGGCCUUCACAUCCCCCUGCCCAGCUCCUGUGGAGUAGACAGUUGCUGUGCUGGGACAAAGAUGGGGCUCCAGGAGCAAACUUGUGGAAGAGGGAAAGGCAGGGUCGUGAGGACCUAUUGUCCAGGUUGAAGCAGGGUCCCAAUAAGUGGCUAUGAAGAUAGUGAGGAGGCACAUGUAUGGAAGUCCUUGAAUGGUGGGCUUCAGUGUAUCUUUGCUUCAGCCUUGUUGCUCCAGAGUUAAAUCUUCAUUAAGUAAAUUCGUAUUUGGUAAUAAUGCCAUAGGUGAUAUUAUGGAUUAGUGCUAUUCACACUAAUCCUUUCCAGGUCAGAGUCAUAGUGGUCUGGCAGACCCAGAAUGGAAACUCCUCUGGUCUUAUUUAUGACGGGUGCCAUGAUAUCAUUUCUUAAACUUCGCUCAUGAUGCGAAUAACUUUGAAAUAUUUCUGAUUAUAAAAUAAGAUAUAAUUAGUAUACAUUUUUUUAAGCACAAGGACAUAUUAAGGUAAAAAUGAAAGCCAUUCGAAGUAUUACCACCCAGAUGAAAUGACCACUAAUAUUUUAUAUUUUGGAAAUCUUUCCUCCUACUAUCUUAGGCUUACACACACACACACACACACACACACACAUUCAGUCACAUUCUCUUUACGUCAUGGCAUACAUUCUGUCAUACGUUCAAUAUUGUUUUUAACCAGAUUUAAUGCAACUUUGAAUACAUUAAAAUUUAUUGGGCUUACCCCUCUAUUCAUGAAAGUUUCAGCGGUAUAAAAACUGGGGCUCAUAAACCAUGUUACAGUGAAUGUAGAGCGUACAUCUAUAUUGAUCCAAUUUAUAUUCUUCCUCAGGUGUUCCCGGCCCCACCUGCCCACCAGGCCUGCCGCCGCUUUCGCACUGAAGCUCAAUGCAGAGCAGCACUGCCUUGGCACUGGCCCCAUCUCCCAGCUCUGGGGGCUGUCUCAUGCUCCCCCAAAGAUAAGGGUCAUACAGGAGAGCUUCCGGAAGGGCAGCUGCAGCUCCAACCAGAUUCAAAGGGACCCAUGGUUCUGACUCCUCCCACCACUUCCCAGCUCAGAGGGAGGAGAGCCCUGGUCCAUGUUUUGUGGGCGGAGGGACUGACUUCCCAGGGCUGCCUGGAUGGACCAGGUAGCACAACCUGGAAGUGCUGGGGUCCCUAAUAGCCAGAGGGACAGGAUGGAGUCAGCUCACCUUAAGGAUGUACUAUAGUCCAAAGGGACUAGUUGUUUCAUAAAAACAUAUGACUUAAAGUCCCAAGCAAAGCAUCCUGUCAUCUGAGUCCACAUCUGUCUCUGCUGACAGGUCUGUGAUCUGUCCCUGUCCCCUGGGACCAUCUUCCUUCCUCAGAAGAGAUGCAUCCUGCCUCUGAUCAGGAUCCUCACCAUGGAGACAUGACCUUCGAUAAGGAAGAAGGUUUGGAUCUUAGGCUGCCAAAGCAAUGAAAACGUCCACUGAACAGACUGGAAGGAUUCUGAACCAUUGCUCCAAAGAGCAACCUUCCACAGAAUUUUUAGACUAUAAAUAAGAUAGAUUCCUGGCUGUCUGAAAUGCUUAGAUAACAGUUCCUCUGUGAAACAGAGAUGGAUUGAAAUACAAUACGUUCCUGCACUGCGAUCAUCUCCUGAAAUGCCAGAAAUACUUUCGUGUCAAUGUCUUAUCAUGAGAAGCCUGAGAGCUGGAAUCUAGAAUUACAAUUCUUUUUCUUUCCCCCAGGAUCUAGCUACAAAGAUUUGGUAAGGAGAUGCAUUUCCUCCCCCAAGUCGGCUGUCUCCAUUUGUAACUGAUACUACAUACAGCAGGGAAGCAUCUGUGUUUCAGAAAAAUGAUGUGUGAAAACAGUUUUCAAAAAUGCAUGCUUUCUACAUUAAAAAAAAAAACAACUAAAAAUAUGUUUGGUUACCACUUUGUAGAGCCUAUUGAAUUUGGCUGUGAAUGGGAAUCUAAUUGCCAUCCAUUUCUACUGGAGCCUUCUAUGAACAUGACAUUUCCAUUAAAAAAAGAAGUCAGCUCUAGCAUUAUGAUGUGGAUGCUGAAAUCAUAAAAAAAAUUAAUGACUGGUUGGUAGGUUAAUAAUUUAUAUUUCUUCUUUGCAGCCCAUUAGAGGAAAUAAGCAAAGCCACAGGUACAGAAAAUAUCACUGGGGUUGGCAAAGGUAAAAGGAAUAUUCUUACUGAAGUGUUACAAAUAGCUCCCUGGUUUUGAGUGAUGAUUACUGAUUAUUCUCCUAUUUUUCAUGUAUAAAUGGAGAAUGUCUUCUUGUUUGUCA